CAGCUUGGUUACUGGGCUUGCCGUGGUGGCAUAGGGGAUAGCGUGUCCCAUGUUUGGAGGCCUUGAGUCCUCGACGUCGUGGGUUCGACUCCCGGACCCGGCGGCAUUUGCUGCAUG